rnacentral:lncRNA from 1 species
AGCAGUAGAUUCUAAUUUUAGUAGUCAGAGUUAGAAGUGAGCCCUCAUUAUUUAAAGACAUGAUUAUUCCCAAUUUUCUCAUUAAUUAGUUUAUUAGUUGGAAAUAGUUAGGGACAUGUCCCAUCAACUUUUUAAUCAGAUAAUUUAGUUAGUUAGAGGCUUUCUAAACUAUCAUGUUUCAAACUUCAAUGUGUUAUUUUUAUUUUGGGUAUUCUAUUACCCCACACAGAU